AUUGAACGCUGGCGGCAGGCCUAACACAUGCAAGUCGAACGAGUGGCGGACGGGUGAGUAAUGUCUGGGAAACUGCCUGAUGGAGGGGGAUAACUACUGGAAACGGUAGCUAAUACCGCAUACCAUCAGAUGUGCCCAGAUGGGAUUAGCUUGUUGGUGGGGUAACGGCCUACCAAGGCGACGAUCCCUAACUGGUCUGAGAGGAUGACCAGCAACACUGGAACUGAGACACGGUCCAGACUCCUACGGGAGGCAGCAGUGGGGAAUAUUGGACAAUGGGCGAAAGCCUGAUGCAGCCAUGCCGCGUGUAUGAAGAAGGCCUUCGGAUUGUAAAGCACUUUCAGCGGGGAGGCGUUACCCGCAGAAGAAGCACCGGCUAACUCCGUGCCAGCAGCCGCGGUAAUAC
rnacentral:rRNA from 1 species